AUUCCUUGCUGAAUCACACCAAUUUUAUCCAGAUUUAAAAAAUAAAAAUAAAAAAUAAAACCCCAAACUAAACAAGUUUGAUGUAGAUAUAUCAGCCUAAGAUAUCUAGGCAAAAGUGAGCCAGACUGAAUUCAGAUCACAGGAGUACUGUCCUUUCUGUUUAAUUCAAAAUCUGCAUUAACUACCUAUUUGACUCUCUGGUAACAUUAAAUAAGGAAAGUGUUCUGAGGAAAAGGACAUACUAGCUAAGUGUACCAGCCUUAUUACACAGACAUUCCAGGAGAUCAGUAAAGAGAACCCAAACGCAAGCAUUCCAAUUUAAUGGACUUCUUUGCAUAAAGGUGAAGCUUCUGCACAGAACUGAAUCUUUGAACAGGGUUGUAUGUCACAGUGUGUGUGUUGAAGGGGGCUCACAAAGGCUUCUCAGGCCAGAUGGGAUGGAACUCCCUGCAAAUCUGUUCUGAACUCAUAUAGGCAGCUGACCAUUUAGAAUUACAGGACCAACUAGAUGGGGAAAAAAAUUGACAUCAUUGAGUCCCACCUGUGACAUUACACUACCUUGUCAUCUAGAUCAUGCUCCCUUGCCCUUUUCUGGACUCCUGAAUGUUCUUCCUGAAGUGAGUAGCCCAGAGCUGGACCCAGCACUCAAGGUGCAGCCUUGCCAGUGGUAAUCAUUCCGGAGCUUAAAAGAACAGUUCCUGCUGACUGUUUACUAGAACCUCAUUUCUGCUGUGCACUAGGCACUAUUUCGUUCAUUCAUUGGAUAACAAUAACUGAAAAUUAAUUUCAUAUCAGCAUACGUUUGGAUGGGAAAAUCUUUAUUGUCUGGUCCUAAAUAAGGUUAUUAAGGCUUCAAAUGAAGCUGACUCACUUCCUGCUUUUUGGUGAACAGAUGCACAGAACAAGGGAAUAAAGUAUA